GUGAACUCUCUGAGGAAUUUACAGUGGUUUAAAAUGGUUGUCAGCAUUUUUCCAUGAGGAUUUUAAUAAAUUCAGCCCCUUUUGCUCAAGGCUCCUUUCAAUUGUGAAAUGUUGAUCGCAUUAGAUUUUUAGGGGUCUAGCUAAGAGUAGCCUCAUGUGUGGUCAUUCCCCCAUGUUCUUCCCCCUUCUAUUUUGUACGGUUCUGUCUUUGUGUGCUAUGACUUCCCAGUUUGGAAAUUGCUGUACUAUGAUCACUGAUUACAUAUUCCGAGUUACUUGCUGUUUACCACACCCAGGAACUUUCUAUAAAUGGCACCUCAAAGGGAAGUAUUACUAAUAUCUAGUUUCUGCUUAUAAACUUAAGAGUAACAUAUGACUAUUUCUAACUGUAAUGAUGUGCUUACGAGGAGUAGAGCUGUUCUGUGCUGGUAGAUGUUCUGUGGUCUGUGCUGAGAACUUAGGGAACUCAGGAGGAGUGCACACCUCCUUACUGUCUGCCUUGAGAAUCAUUUAUCUCCG
rnacentral:lncRNA from 1 species